rnacentral:rRNA from 1 species
AUGCAAGUCGAACGGAAAGGCCCUUCGGGGUACUCGAGUGGCGAACGGGUGAGUAACACGUGGGUGAUCUGCCCUGCACUUCGGGAUAAGCCUGGGAAACUGGGUCUAAUACCGGAUAUACCUCAUGGGCUGCAUGGUUUGUGGGGGAAAGCUUUUGCGGUGUGGGAUGGGCCCGCGGCCUAUCAGCUUGUUGGUGAGGUUAUGGCUUACCAAGGCGACGACGGGUAGCCGGCCUGAGAGGGUGACCGGCCACACUGGGACUGAGAUACGGCCCAGACUCCUACGGGAGGCAGCAGUGGGGAAUAUUGCACAAUGGGCGCAAGCCUGAUGCAGCGACGCCGCGUGAGGGAUGACGGCCUUCGGGUUGUAAACCUCUUUCAGUAGGGACGAAGCGAAAGUGACGGUACCUGCAGAAGAA